AAUCAAACCCGGAGAUAUCUCGUUCUCCCCGAAAUAGCUUUAGGGCUAGCCUCGGCCGUUCUCCGACGGCGGUAGAGCACUGGAUCGUCGAGGGGGCUUCACCGCCUACCGACACGAACCAAACUCCGAAUGCCGCCGGAUCAGAGGCCGGGAGUCAGAACAUGUGGGCUAAGCUGUGUGUUCGAGAGGGAAACAGCCCAGACCGCCCGCUAAGGUCCCCAAGUUUAUGCUGAGUGGCAAAGGAUGUGCGUUUGCCUAGACAACCAGGAUGUUGGCUUAGAAGCAGCCAUGCAUUUAAAGAGUGCGUAACAGCUCACUGGUCAAGUGGACAUGCGCCGACAAUUCACGGGGCUAAGCAUAACACCGAAGCGGCGGACUAAUCUAUAUUAGUGGUAGGGGAGCUUUCCCCGCAGCGGAGAAGCCGAGAGGGCGACCCUCGGUGGAGCGCGGGGAAGUGAGAAUGCUGGCAUGAGUAACGAGAGCGGCGCGAGAAACGCCGCCGCCGUAAGCCUAAGGGUUCCUGGGCAAGGCUAAUCCUCCCAGGGUCAGUCGGGAGCUAAGGCGAGGCCGAGAGGCGUAGCCGAUGCGCAACAGGCGGACAUUCCUGUACCGCCUGCGGACCGCUAUCACCGACGGGGUGACGGAGAAGGGUAGCCGAGCGGGGUUCUGGACGUCCCCGUGAAAGCGCGUAGGGCGCGGAGCAUGGAAAUCAGCUCCGCAGACAGCCUGAGACGCGAGACGAAAGCUUAUGCUGAAGUCGGCGAGCCCAUGCUUCCGAGAAAAACCUCUAGGAAGGGACGCAGGCGCCCGUACCAAAACCGACACAGGUGGGCAGGUAGAGCAUACCGAGGCGAUCGGGAGAACCAUGGUUAAGGAACUCGGCAUACUGACUCCGUAACUUCGGGAGAAGGAGUGCCCCUGGCGGUGACGGGACUAGCUCCCCGAGCGGCCGGGGGUCGCAGCGAAACGGCCCAAGCGACUGUUUAUCAAAAACACAGGACUCUGCAAAGCCGUAAGGCGACGUAUAGGGUCUGACGCCUGCCCGGUGCUGGAAGGUUACGCGGAUGGGUCAGCCGCAAGGCGAAGCUCUGAAGCCAAGCCCCAGUAAACGGCGGCCGUAACUAUAACGGUCCUAAGGUAGCGAAAUUCCUUGUCGGGU
rnacentral:rRNA from 1 species